AACGAACGCUGGCGGCGCGCUUAACACAUGCAAGUCGAACGAGAAGCUGUAGCAAUACAGUUGUAAAGUGGCAAACGGGUGAGUAAUGCGUGGGUAAUCUACCCUAGGGUGGGGAAUAACUCCUCGAAAGGGGAGCUAAUGCCGACAUGUGCGCCACUCUCGCAAGGGAGUGAUGGAAAGCCGUACCGUGGGUGCGGCGCCCAAGGAUGAGCUCACGUCCUANCAGCUUGUUGGCGGGGUAACGGCCCACCAAGGCUGCGACGGGUAGCUGGUCUGAGAGGACGACCAGCCACACUGGCACUGCGACGACGGGCCAGACUCCUACGGGAGGCAGCAGUGAGGAAUAUUGCGCAAUGGACGACAGUCUGACGCA
rnacentral:rRNA from 1 species